rnacentral:rRNA from 1 species
ACGAACGCUGGCGGCGUGCUUAACACAUGCCAGUCGCACGGAAAGGCCCUGCUUUUGUGGGGUGCUCGAGUGGCGAACGGGUGAGUAACACGUGAGUAACCUGCCCUUGACUUUGGGAUAACUUCAGGAAACUGGGGCUAAUACCGGAUAGGAGCUCCUGCUGCAUGGUGGGGGUUGGAAAGUUUCGGCGGUUGGGGAUGGACUCGCGGCUUAUCAGCUUGUUGGUGGGGUAGUGGCUUACCAAGGCUUUGACGGGUAGCCGGCCUGAGAGGGUGACCGGCCACAUUGGGACUGAGAUACGGCCCAGACUCCUACGGGAGGCAGCAGUGGAGAAUAUUGCACAAUGGGCGGAAGCCUGAUGCAGCAACGCCGCGUGCGGGAUGACGGCCUUCGGGUUGUAAACCGCUUUCGCCUGUGACGAAGCGUGAGUGACGGUAAUGGGUAAAGAAGCACCGGCUAACUACGUG